AAGUCCCAUUGUAGUCUCCCCAGAUAACAUGCAGCACAUUCAUCUGUGAUCGUCUGGGUCAAAGAACAUCUUAU